CCGCGGUAAAACCAGCUCCCCGAGGGGUUCCCACGCAUACUGGGCCUAAAGCGUCCGUAGCCGGCCCUGUAAGUCUGCAGUUAAAUCCGCCUGUAGACAGGCGGGUUGCUGCAGAUACUGCAGGGCUAGGGAGCGGGAGGAGCCGGGGGUAUUCCCGGGGGAGCGGUAAAAUGCGUAGAUCCCGGGAGGACCACCAGUGGCGAAGGCGCCCGGCUUGAACGCGUCCGACGGUGAGGGACGAAAGCUGGGGGAGCAAACCGGAUUAGAUACCCGGGUAGUCCCAGCCGUAAACGAUGCCGGCUAGGUGCUGGCCAAGGUUUCGGCCUUGGCCAGUGUCGAAGCGAAGGCAUUAAGCCGGCCGCCUGAGGAGUACGGCCGCAAGGCUGAAACUUGAAGGAAUUGACGGGGGGGCACCACAAGGGGUGAAUGCCUGCGGCUUAAUUGGACUCAGCGCCGGGAAUCUUACCGGGGGCGACAGCAGGAUGAAGGUCAGGCUGAAGACCUUACCAGACGCGCUGAGGGGUGGUGCAUGGCCGUCGCCAGCUCGUGCCGUGAGGUGUCCUGUUAAGUCAGGCAACGAGCGAGACCCCCGCCCCUAGUUGCCAGCGGCCUCCUUCGGGAGGGACCGGGCAAACUAGGGGGACCGCCUCCGAAGAGGAGGAGGAAGGUGGGGGCUACGGCAGGUCAGUAUGCCCCUAAUCCCCCGGGCCGCACGCGGGCU
rnacentral:rRNA from 1 species